UACCAAGCAUUUGAUUGCUCAUCUGCUUUGGAGAAAGUUGGGGCUUUCCUGCUGAGAUGAUCUGAAAGGUCUUAAUUCUGAAAGAUGAAAGCCUCCACCUGUUGGCUGGCACUGGCGCCUGACAGUUUUCUCCAUCCUUUGAAUGAAGGCCACCACGAGUGGUCAUGUUAACCAAAUAUUUUGAAUCUUAGCCACCAUAAUCCAUGGGCACCAGCUGUGAAAAGUGCAGGACAAACAUCUUCCUCCACCUGUGAGUCUCUUCCCACAUAUAGAUAAG